GGUAGCGUGGCCGAGCGGUCUGAGGCGCUGGAUUUAGGCUCCAGUCUCUUUGGAGGCGAGGGUUCGAAUCUCUUGGCUGCUA
rnacentral:tRNA from 1 species